rnacentral:rRNA from 1 species
GUGAACCAGUACCGUGAGGGAAAGGCGAAAAGAACCCCGGCGAGGGGAGUGAAAAAGAACCUGAAACCGUGUACGUACAAGCAGUGGGAGCCUCUUAAUGGGGUGACUGCGUACCUUUUGUAUAAUGGGUCAGCGACUUAUAUUCUGUAGCAAGGUUAACCGAAUAGGGGAGCCGAAGGGAAACCGAGUCUUAACUGGGCGUUAAGUUGCAGGGUAUAGACCCGAAACCCGGUGAUCUAGCCAUGGGCAGGUUGAAGGUUGGGUAACACUAACUGGAGGACCGAACCGACUAAUGUUGAAAAAUUAGCGGAUGACUUGUGGCUGGGGGUGAAAGGCCAAUCAAACCGGGAGAUAGCUGGUUCUCCCCGAAAGCUAUUUAGGUAGCGCCUCGUGAAUUCAUCUCCGGGGGUAGAGCACUGUUUCGGCAAGGGGGUCAUCCCGACUUACCAACCCGAUGCAAACUGCGAAUACCGGAGAAUGUUAUCACGGGAGACACACGGCGGGUGCUAACGUCCGUCGUGAAGAGGGAAACAACCCAGACCGCCAGCUAAGGUCCCAAAGUCAUGGUUAAGUGGGAAACGAUGUGGGAAGGCCCAGACAGCCAGGAUGUUGGCUUAGAAGCAGCCAUCAUUUAAAGAAAGCGUAAUAGCUCACUGGUCGAGUCGGCCUGCGCGGAAGAUGUAACGGGGCUAAACCAUGCACCGAAGCUGCGGCAGCGACGCUUAUGCGUUGUUGGGUAGGGGAGCGUUCUGUAAGCCUGUGAAGGUGUGCUGUGAGGCAUGCUGGAGGUAUCAGAAGUGCGAAUGCUGACAUAAGUAACGAUAAAGCGGGUGAAAAGCCCGCUCGCCGGAAGACCAAGGGUUCCUGUCCAACGUUAAUCGGGGCAGGGUGAGUCGACCCCUAAGGCGAGGCCGAAAGGCGUAGUCGAUGGGAAACAGGUUAAUAUUCCUGUACUUGGUGUUACUGCGAAGGGGGGACGGAGAAGGCUAUGUUGGCCGGGCGACGGUUGUCCCGGUUUAAGCGUGUAGGCUGAU